rnacentral:rRNA from 1 species
UGGGGAAUAUUGGGCAAUGGAGGAAACUCUGACCCAGCGACGCCGCGUGCGGGAUGAAGGCCUUCGGGUUGUAAACCGCUUUCAGUAGGGAAGAAGCGAAAGUGACGGUACCUACAGAAGAAGCACCGGCUAACUAUGUGCCAGCAGCCGCGGUAAUACAUAGGGUGCAAGCGUUGUCCGGAAUUAUUGGGCGUAAAGAGCUCGUAGGUGGUUUGAUACGUCGGGUGUGAAAUUCAGGGGCUCAACCCCUGACCUGCAUUCGAUACGGUCAAGCUAGAGUUUGGUAGGGGAGACUGGAAUUCCUGGUGUAGCGGUGGAAUGCGCAGAUAUCAGGAGGAACACCGAUGGCGAAGGCAGGUCUCUGGGCCAAUACUGACACUGAGGAGCGAAAGCGUGGGGAGCGAACA